GAGUUUGAUCCUGGCUCAGAGCGAACGCUGGCGGCAUGCUUAACACAUGCAAGUCGCACGGGCAGCUUCGGCUGUCAGUGGCGGACGGGUGAGUAACGCGUAGGUAUCUAUCCUCGGGGUGGGGGACAACCACGGGAAACUGUGGCUAAUACCGCAUGAUGACUGAGGUCCAAAGGCGCAAGUCGCCUGGGGAGGAGCCUGCGUCCGAUUAGCUUGUUGGUGGGGUAAAGGCCUACCAAGGCUCCGAUCGGUAGCUGGUCUGAGAGGAUGAUCAGCCACACUGGGACUGAGACACGGCCCAGACUCCUAC
rnacentral:rRNA from 1 species